rnacentral:tRNA from 1 species
GGGGUUAUAGCUCAGUGGUAGAGCACUUGCCUAGCAUGUGUGAGACCCUGGAUUCGAUUCUCAGUACCA